CCUACGGGUGGCAGCAGUGGGGAAUAUUGGACAAUGGGCGAAAGCCUGAUCCAGCCAUGCCGCGUGUGUGAAGAAGGCCUUCGGGUUGUAAAGCACUUUCAGUGGGGAAGAAAGCCUUGGGGCUAAUACCCUCGAGGAAGGACAUCACCCACAGAAGAAGCACCGGCUAACUCCGUGCCAGCAGCCGCGGUAAUACGGAGGGUGCGAGCGUUAAUCGGAAUUACUGGGCGUAAAGCGGGCGUAGGCGGUCUGAUAAGCCGGUUGUGAAAGCCCCGGGCUCAACCUGGGAACGGCAUCCGGAACUGUCAGGCUAGAGUGCAGGAGAGGAAGGUAGAAUUCCCGGUGUAGCGGUGAAAUGCGUAGAGAUCGGGAGGAAUACCAGUGGCGAAGGCGGCCUUCUGGACUGACACUGACGCUGAGGUGCGAAAGCGUGGGUAGCAAACAGGAUUAGAUACCCGAGUAGUC
rnacentral:rRNA from 1 species